UGGAAGUAUUCUAUUAUAAGAUUUUAUAAAGCUUUUGUCAUAAAUUCAUAUGAAUAUUAAGAAAAUUAUAAGAUUUUGUUUCAAAAGAACUAGAGAAUGAUACAAAAUAGUUAAUUACCUAUUCAUACGCAUUAUAACAGAAUAACCUCAAUGAUUAGUGACGCAUUAAAAAUGUCAUUCAUGUGCUCAAAUUUUGUCAAUACAACGCAAUGGUUAGUCAGAGGAGAUCGGAAACAAUUAGACAACUGUGGCAUUGGUCAGCAGAGCGAAUAUCCGUACGUAGCGCGUUGUCCUACUGCUUUACUUGCGGGUAUUUUUUAAGAGUGCUUUAGAUACUGUAACAUAUUAACUGACAAAUUUAAUACGAAUAAUAUUGAACCUUAUGUGGUGAUAGUAUAGUCUACAAAAUAUCUAUUUGUAUGAAGUAUGUACAUAAUGGUAUCGUCAUGAGGAUUUCUAUAUCACAGUCACUGAAUAUAAAAUGUCAAUAAUAAUUGGACUGGUUGUAUAUAUUUUGUCAAGUAAAAGGUUAACAGAUAAGAAAGAUGAAAGAAUAUAUGCAGAGCUGAGAUAGCGACCGGACCAUAAGGAGAAAGUGUUGAAAAGCCACAUGCCCACGUUGAUGAUGAGUAGGAACAUGAGGAGUUCUCGCCCUGGUUUCCUCCGGCGGAGCUUCUUGGAAUUACUGCAUCGGCGCAGUCCAUCCAUGAUAAGGGGUGUUUGAAUAAAAACUUGUAUGAUCUCCAAGUAUAAGCAUACCAGCUAUGACGACUGUCAUCAUCAGUCCCAUGAAAAGACCGCGGUUGGACGCAUGGCAGUCCGCAUGGAUCACCACGUUACUCGUGAAGUCAUUGUCUUCAUUCGCUCUUUUUGAAGCCGCUGCACCCAUAUAUUACAGCACUAGCUGACCCGCGCAACUUCGUUUGCAUCACACUUAUCUACAUGCGGAGUAUGAUGUUUCAUUACUGCCGUAACCAUUACCAUACACUGAAUUAGCGUAUAUUGUUAACGCCAAAAUUGUCUCUCGGACUA